CCUGACUAUAUGUUUAACGGCCACGGUAUCCUAACCGUGCAAAGGUAGCGCAAUCAUUUGUCUCCUAACUAGAGACCUGUAUGAAUGGCAUAACGAGAGCUUAACUGUCUCCUCUUUGAAGUCAAUAAAAUUGAUCUUUCCGUGCAGAAGCGGAAAUAAAAACAUAAGACGAGAAGACCCUGUGGAGCUUCAGACACUAAAGCAGACCACAUAAACCUCCAAAAACUUAAUCCAGUGACCACCUGCCCUAAUGUCUUCGGUUGGGGCGACCAAGGGAAAUUAACCAACCCCCUCGUGGACUAGAACCACCUCUUCCCAAAACCAAGAGCCACAACUCUAACAAAUAGAAUCUCUAACCACCUAAUACAGACCCGGCAACGCCGAUCUACGAACCAAGUUACCCCAGGGAUAACAGCGCAAUCCCCUUUCAGAGCCCAUAUCGACAAGGGGGUUUACGACCUCGAUGUUGGAUCAGGACACCCCAGUGGUGCAACCGCUA
rnacentral:rRNA from 1 species